rnacentral:rRNA from 1 species
GACGGAAGGUGCAAGCGUUGCUCGGAAUCACUGGGCGUAAAGGGUGCGUAGGCGGCUGUGCAAGUCUGGCGUGAAAGCCCCGGGCUCAGCCCGGGAAGUGCGCUCGAAACUGCACGGCUCGAGUGCCGGAGGGGAGAGUGGAAUUCCUGGUGUAGCGGUGAAAUGCGUAGAUAUCGUAAGGAAGACCAGUGGCGAAGGCGAGUCUCUGGACAGUUACUGACACUGAGGCACGAAGGCCAGGGGAGCAAACGGG